rnacentral:rRNA from 1 species
GUGGGGAAUAUUCCGCAAUGGACGAAAGUCUGACGGAGCAACGCCGCGUGAGUGAUGAAGGUUUUCGGACUGUAAAGCUCUGUUGUUUAGGACGAAAGUGCCUGUUGCAAAUAGUUACAGGUAUUGACGGUACUGAACGAGGAAGCCACGGCUAACUACGUGCCAGCAGCCGCGGUAAUACGUAGGUGGCAAGCGUUGUCCGGAAUUAUUGGGCGUAAAGAGCGUGUAGGCGGGAAUCUAAGUCUGUUGUGAAAAUGCGGGGCUCAACCCCGUAUUGCGAUGGAAACUGGGUUUCUUGAGUGCAGGAGAGGAAAGGGGAAUUCCCAGUGUAGCGGUGAAAUGCGUAGAUAUUGGGAGGAACACCAGUGGCGAAGGCGCCUUUCUGGACUGUGUCUGACGCUGAGAUGCGAAAGCCAGGGUAGCGAACGGGAUUAGAAACCCGGGUAGUCC